rnacentral:rRNA from 1 species
GACGAACGCUGGCGGCGUGCUUAACACAUGCAAGUCGAACGGAAAGGCCCUGCUUUUGUGGGGUGCUCGAGUGGCGAACGGGUGAGUAACACGUGAGUAACCUGCCCUUGACUUUGGGAUAACUUCAGGAAACUGGGGCUAAUACCGGAUAGGAGCUCCUGCUGCGUGGUGGGGGUUGGAAAGUUUCGGCGGUUGGGGAUGGACUCGCGGCUUAUCAGCUUGUUGGUGGGGUAGUGGCUUACCAAGGCUUUGACGGGUAGCCGGCCUGAGAGGGUGACCGGCCACAUUGGGACUGAGAUACGGCCCAGACUCCUACGGGAGGCAGCAGUGGGGAAUAUUGCACAAUGGGCGGAAGCCUGAUGCAGCAACGCCGCGUGCGGGAUGACGGCCUUCGGGUUGUAAACCGCUUUCGCCUGUGACGAAGCGUGAGUGACGGUAAUGGGUAAAGAAGCACCGGCUAACUACGUGCCAGCAGCCGCGGUGAUACGUAGGGUGCGAGCGUUGUCCGGAUUUAUUGGGCGUAAAGGGCUCGUAGGUGGUUGAUCGCGUCGGAAGUGUAAUCUUGGGGCUUAACCCUGAGCGUGCUUUCGAUACGGGUUGACUUGAGGAAGGUAGGGGAGAAUGGAAUUCCUGGUGGAGCGGUGGAAUGCGCAGAUAUCAGGAGGAACACCAGUGGCGAAGGCGGUUCUCUGGGCCUUUCCUGACGCUGAGGAGCGAAAGCGUGGGGAGCGAACAGGCUUAGAUACCCCGGUAGUCCACGCUGUAAACGGUGGGUACUAGGUGUGGGGUCCAUUCCACGGGUUCCGUGCCGUAGCUAACGCUUUAAGUACCCCGCCUGGGGAGUACGGCCGCAAGGCUAAAACUCAAAGGAAUUGACGGGGCCCCGCACAAGCGGCGGAGCAUGCGGAUUAAUUCGAUGCAACGCGUAGAACCUUACCUGGGUUUGACAUGGAUCGGGAGUGCUCAGAGAUGGGUGUGCCUCUUUUGGGGUCGGUUCACAGGUGGUGCAUGCCUGUCGUCAGCUCGUGUCGUGAGAUGUUGGGUUAAGUCCCGCAACGAGCGCAACCCUUGUUCACUGUUGCCAGCACGUUAUGGUGGGGACUCAGUGGAGACCGCCGGGGUCAACUCGGAGGAAGGUGGGGAUGACGUCAAGUCCUCAUGCCCCUUAUGUCCAGGGCUUCACGCAUGCUACAAUGGCUGGUACAGAGAGUGGCGAGCCUGUGAGGGUGAGCGAAUCUCGGAAAGCCGGUCUCAGUUCGGAUUGGGGUCUGCAACUCGACCUCAUGAAGUCGGAGUCGCUAGUAAUCGCAGAUCAGCAACGCUGCGGUGAAUACGUUCCCGGG